CCGCCAAGCAGAGAGCCGGAUGUGGGGUUCAAUCCCAAGACGCUGGGAUGAUGGCGGAAAGCGGACACUUAAUGACUGAGCCACCCAGGCACCCCGCCCCAUCCCUUUCUUAAUUAUAGGGCAAGGCCAGAUCAUGAAGGGCCAGCCAUGCCCCUCAAAGUUACUGGAUUUUUAUCUUGGAAGCAGCUGAAGAGCCCCUAAUAUCAUCAGGUAAGGCAGCUCCAUGGUCCUAUCUGUGGGCAAAUGGACUGAAUGAUGGUAAGACUGAGGACGAGAAGGCCAUUUCAGAAACUCUUCACAACAGUCAACGUGAGCAGUAAUUAGGCUUGGACUGCACUUGCAGUGGAGAGGGAGCAGAAAGGGCAGGUAAGUGAGGUGGAAGCAAAGUGACAGGGUGACCAGCUGGGUUGAGAGUGGCGAAAGAGGAAGAAGUCAAGGAUAAUUCCCUGGCUUCUGACUUGAGAAGAUACCAGUCUCCAUGCCACAUCAUUCUAUCAGCUUUCAAUUGUGGAUUCUGGCUUCCUGAGAUUGGUCACUGCUGCUUUGCCACAUUCCCUUUGUCCUAAAGAAUGUCCCUAGGUGCUGCUGACUAGCUGUAGAAAUACAGAAGCAGCUGGCCCCACCUCUGAGUGGUGGUGAUGGGAGGGGGAAGCACCACCGGCGCCUCUCCCAGCCUCCUCUAUACAACCUUCAGCAACCAACAGCAGCAAUCCUUUAUGUGAUGCUCCAUUUAAUUCUGUACACAAAUAAGGAGGUCAAAAUAUAGUUAUUACGAACCCCACUAGUACAAGGCAUUAUAGAAAAAUAAAUAAAAGCUAAGAACAAUAGCUGAGAGUUCUAUAGGAAUGUCAUAUGAUGCAAUGCAAAGAUUUUGUGGUUCGUCAGGUGUGAGUUUGACUUCCGGCUUGUGUGACCUUGGGAAAUGGAUAUUCUUAAGACUUGGUUGCUUCCUCAAUAAAAUAGAUAGUAUAGCCUACCUCAUCUGUAAAAAUUGGUGAGAUAAUAUAUGUAAAACUCCUAUUAGCACCAUGCCCAACUUGUCAUAGAUUCAAAAGAUAAGAAUAAAGGAAAUAUCCUUCUCUAUUUCCCAUCCCCUUUGACUACUCAAAGACCUCCUGCCUCCAAAGAGAGUCUAGUUAUUACCAAUGGGUAUUUCUCUCUACUUCCCACACUUAUGCACACUGCCGUUAGCAAAAGGAAGCUUCUAAAGGCAAAAUAGGAUCAUAUCUGUGUCAGAGACUUUUGCAGUCCAUCCAAUAUUCAUCUUUCCUUUCCUCCUCAUUAAUGAAUGCUGAUUUUUCUGGGUGGAGCAAAGUACCAAGUGAAAAACAGUUCCCAGGCUCCAUUGCUGCUAGGGGUAGCCAUGUGAUACAUUAGGGCCAAUAAAUCUCUGCUAGAGAGGUUUUGAAAUGUUUCUGGCCACGGGUACUUUCAUUCCCCCUUCACUUUCCUUCCUUUUUUCAACUUCCUGGAAACUGGAUAUGAUAGUUGGAGCUACAGUGCCCACCUUGCAAACUAUGAGGAAAAGAUCAAGAUUCAUAGGACAUCAGUCUUGACAAAGGUGCGUUCCUGAAACGAUGCUUCCACCACCUUCCAAGACAUUUUUUCAACACAAUGGACAAAGAAAGCCCUAAUUUAAGCUGUUGACUUUCAGGUGUUUAAAACUUUCAUCUGAGCACAAUUCCUGACUUAAUCCCUUCAACCCUACUUUAGUAUGAUUUUCAAGGCAUUAACCAUGAUUUUCUUCCAACUGAAAAAGAAACAUUUAUUGAGUGUCCAGUAUAUGUCAGACAUUGUGUAUAUAGACAUUCAAAUAAAAAUUACAUAUUGACUCUUUAA